ACCGCCCCCUGAGGGCACGGCGGCACCGGGCGGCACCGCGCUGCCCCGCACGGCUCCGAGGGCCGAGUCGGUCGUGAUUCAGCGCUUCUGUUUUUUAACCGGCCCGUGCCCGGGUCGGUGCCGCGGGGAUGCUGGGCGUUCUUAGGAGGCGUUUUAUCCCAUAAAGAUGCUGGCACUGCUGGGUACUGCGUGAGGAAGCGCUGCCACAGGUGAUGGAGCUGACAAAGAGCUUUAUUCAUGAAUGCACGGGAUUGAUUAUUAGAAGGGCACAAGCUCCUGCUCUAUUCUCUCCACCUGAAGUCAGUGUGCUCCGUGUGAGACAAUUUCCACAACAAAUUCUGCUUCUUCCUAUCAGGGGUUAAAGAGCUUCAAAACAAACCCUCUUUGGAGCAGGAUUUCAGGCUGACAUCCCCAGUCAUCCUACAGCGAGCACACUCUGCUACAGACCUGCUCCCCACUAAAUGCCCCGCUCUUCCCAAAUGGGAAGCCCUGGCUUUGCCGUGCUGUGAAAUCUGUAAUAUUCUUGCAUGACCGCUGUUUUAAGUUAGACUGCAUUCCUGUCUUUCAGUUGUCAGGAGAGCGUGGAAAGAAGAUAUUUAUCGCAUUAGCCCUGCAUGAUCAAGGAGAAGGCUGGCUGUUUGGGGAUGCUUUAUUAAUGAAUGCUAGAGGACAUCCACCCCUCCUAAGGUUUUUCAGAGACCAGCACAAAAAACCUUCUAAAGCCUCUUCCCGGUCUGUUACGACUUGCUCUUAUGUUUCUGCACUUGAGAACCUCCUUGGCAUGUUUUAAGGCUCCACAGCACCGAAAAGAGUAGGAACCCCAACCAACCCCAGCAAAGUGAACCGGUGAGUAACUGUGAACAUCUGCAAGGCCCUCACAUCUCUCCCAGACGUCAUGAUAAAGAAGAAAACAUCUGUGGGACCAGAGCAUUAAUUCCAUUUUCCACUUCCUUUAGUGUAGAUGGGGAUAUAAAAUGCUGGGCUCUGUGCUGAAGGGCAGAGGUCCCCAAUCCAGCCCCUGCGUGCAGCAGGACAUGCUCUGGAGGAGCUUUUUGCUCAGGGAAUUUCAAACAGAGCACCAAACCUUCACUUUUUGCCUCUCCAUACACCCACAGGUGUGUUCCUCCUUGUGGGACAUAGAGGCAGCGUCUCACUUGAAACUGAUAGAAGUCAAC